UCACAAUGCUGACACUCAAACUGCUGACA
rnacentral:piRNA from 1 species